rnacentral:rRNA from 1 species
UACGUAGGGUGCAAGCGUUGUCCGGAAUUAUUGGGCGUAAAGAGCUCGUAGGCGGCUUGUCGCGUCGAAUGUGAAAUCUCAGGGCUCAACUCUGACAUUGCAUUCGAUACGGGCAGGCUCGAGUUCGGUAGGGGAGACUGGAAUUCCUGGUGUAGCGGUGAAGUGCGCAGAUAUCAGGAGGAACACCGGUGGCGAAGGCGGGUCUCUGGGCCGAUACUGACGCUGAGGAGCGAAAGCGUGGGGAGCGAACAGG